rnacentral:rRNA from 1 species
UACGGGGGGGCAAGGCGUUGUUCGGAAUUACUGGGCGUAAAGGGCUACGUAGGCGGCCAACUAAGUCGGGAUGUGAAAUCCCCAGGCUUAAACCUCGGGGAACUGCAUCCGAUACUGGAUGGCUUGAAUCCGGGAGAGGGAUGCAGAAGUUCCAGGUGUAGCGGUGAAAUGACGUAGAUAUCUGGAGGAAUGACCGGUGGCGAAGGCGGCAUCCUGGGACCGGCCAGUUGACGCUGACGUGAGCGAAAGCCAGGGGAAGCAAACGGGGAUUAA